rnacentral:rRNA from 1 species
CCUCGGAACUGCCUUGUAAACUCCUGGUCUUGAGUUCGAGAGAGGUGAGUGGAAUUCCAAGUGUAGAGGUGAAAUUCGUAGAUAUUCGGAGGAACACCAGUGGCGAAGGCGGCUCACUGGCUCGAUACUGACGCUGAGGUACGAAAGUGUGGGGAGCAAACAGGAUUAGAUACCCUGGUAGUCCACACCGUAAACGAUGAAUGCCAGU